rnacentral:rRNA from 1 species
CCUACGGGGGGCAGCAGUGGGGAAUAUUGCACAAUGGGGGAAACCCUGAUGCAGCGACGCCGCGUGAGUGAAGAAGCGUUUCGGCGCGUAAAGCUCUGUCAGCGGGGAAGAAACACGGUUCGCGAGAGCCGCGGACGGUACCUGACCAAGAAGCCCCGGCUAACUACGUGCCAGCAGCCGCGGUAAUACGUAGGGGGCAAGCGUUAUCCGGAUUUACUGGGUGUAAAGGGGGCGCAGACGGCAAUGCAAGCCAGGAGUGAAAGUCCGGGGCCCAACCCCGGGACUGCUCUUGGAACUGCAUGGCUGGAGUACAGGAGGGGCAGGCGGAAUUCCUAGUGUAGCGGUGAAAUGCGUAGAUAUUAGGAGGAACACCGGUGGCGAAGGCGGCCUGCUGGACUGUGACUGACGUUGAGGCCCGAAGGCGUGGGGAGCAAACAGGAUUAGAUACCCUUGUAGUC